rnacentral:rRNA from 1 species
AGUUCGAUCCUGGCUCAGAUUGAACGCUUACAGGAUGCUUUACACAUACCGUAAGCUGGAACGGCAGGAACGGACUUCGGUCUGGUGGCGAGUGGCGAACGGGUGAGUAAUGUAUCGGAACGUGCCUAGUAGCGGGGGGAUAACUACGCGAAAGGUAGCUAAUACCGCAUACACUUUGGGAAAGCGGGGGACCUUCGGGCCUCGCACUAGAGCGGCUGAUAUCGGAUUAGCUUAGUUGCGGGGUGGAAUUGCUCACCAAGGCGGACCGAUCUGCAGCUGGUUUGAGAGGACGACCAGCCACACUGGGACUGAGACACGGCCCAGACUCCUACGGGGAGGAGGCAGCAGUGGGAAUUUUGGACAAUGGGGGAAACCCUGAUCCAGCCAUCCCGCGUGUGCGAUGAAGGCCUUCGGGUUGUAAAGCACUUUGGCAGGAAAAGAAACGGCACGAUGCCAAUACCCCGUGCAACUGACGGUACCUGCAGAAUAAGCACCGGCUAACUACGUGCCAGCAGCCGCGGUAAUACGUAGGGUGCAAGCGUUAAUCGGAAUUACUGGGCGUAAAGCGUGCGCAGGCGGUUCGGAAAGAAAGAUGUGAAAUCCCCAGAGCUUAACUUUGGAACUGCAUUUUUAACUACCGAGCUAGAGUGUACAGAGGAAGGAAUUCCGGGCGUAGCAGUGAAAUGCGUAGAUAUGCGGAGGAACACCGAUGGCGAAGGCAGCUCUGGGAUAACACUGACGCUCGCGCACGAAAGCGUGGGGAGCAAACAGAUUAGAUACUCUGUAGUCUCAUGUGGCCUCAAACGAUGUCAAUCUAUUGUUACUAGCCUUGGUAGCGCAGCUAACGCGUGAAGUUGACCGCCUGGGGAGUACGGUCGCAAGAUUAAAACUCAAAGGAAUUGACGGGGACCCGCACAAGCGGUGGAUGAUAUGGACUAAUCUUUGAUGCAACGCCAUGAAAACCUUACCUACCCUGACAUGCUGGAAUCCCGAAGAGAUUUGGGGAGUGCUCGCAAGAGAACCGGAACACAGGUGCUGGCAUGGCUGUCGUCAGCUCGUGUCGUGAGAUGUUGGGUUAAGUCCCGCAACGAGCGCAACCUUUGUCAUUAUUACGGCACUCUAAUGAGACUGCCGGUGACAAACCGGAGGAAGGUGGGGAUGAUGUCAAGUCCUUUCGUUGGCCCUUAAGUGGGUAGGGCUUCGCCACGUCAUACAAUGUCGACAGAGGGUCGCUAACCCGCGAGGGGGAGCCAAUCCCAGAAACCCGGAUCGUAGUCCGUCGAUCGCAGGUUCGUAACCCGAUCAUGCGAAGUCGGAAUCGCUAGUAAUCGCGGAUCAGCAUGUCGCGGUGAAUACGUUCCCGGGUCUUGUACACACCGCUGCCCGCCUACACCAUGGGAGUGGGUUUUACCAGAAGUAGUUAGCUCAACCGUGGCGAGGGCGAUUACCACGGCAGUAGGAUUCGACUGGGGCGAAGUCGUAACAAGGUAA